CRCUGAAGUGCAGAGUUUAUCUUCUCUGGGUUUUCUGCCUGCCUGGAGAUUGGUUGGAUCGCUCCCAAAGCCAACGGGCGCCUGGCACUGAGCACAGGGCUGGCCACAAAGGGCUGGCACCAGGGGUUUGCUCCAUGGGAAUUGUGUCCAGCAAAGCCACCAGGAAUUGUGUCCCAGAAGGGCCAGGACAGAGCCRGGGCCGGAGUGGUGCUGGAGAAAAUGAAUAUUUAUAAUAUUUAAUGACCAACCCCCUCAUCAGCCGGCUCCCAUUCUCCCGAGCCUGGGAGCAGUGCCAGAGGGUGGGAAUGCUGUCCCUGUGCUGGUGUGGGAAAGGCUGCCAGAGCUGCUCAUGUGUGUCUGCUUUUGUCUUCCAGCGGAGCAGAGUCCCUCUCCUCGGAUGAAAAAGAGGUGACCCCCAGUCACACGGAGGAAUCGGGAUCGGGAUUGGGAUCGGCCGAGGAGCACCCAGAGGGAGAGGCCAGUUCUGACAGCGGCUCCAGCAGCAGCUCCGAGGAGGAGUCAGAUGAAGAGCAGGAGGAGAAGGAAUCCCCGCCYGUCUGCAAUGAUUCAGGAGGGAACUGUUUGGCGCCCUGUGAGCACUGCAGGAACGGAAAUGAUCAGACGGAGCAAGUGACCCCCAGGAGACUUGCUGGAGGACAGUUUAUGUAUGGAAUUUUAAAAAUAUAUAUAUAAAUUAUAUA